rnacentral:rRNA from 1 species
AGGUCCAGCCUGCCCAGUGACCAUGUUCAACGGCCGCGGUAUCCUAACCGUGCGAAGGUAGCGUAAUCACUUGUUCUUUAAAUGCGGACUAGUAUGAAUGGCACCACGAAGGUUAUACUGUCUCCUUUUUCUAAUCAGUGAAACUAAUCUCCCCGUGAAGAAGCGAGGAUACAUCUAUAAGACGAGAAGACCCUAUGGAGCUUUAAACAAUACAGCAAUUACCUAUUAAACUAUAAAGUUUCUGAACAUUAACACUUUUAAGUAAUAUGACUGCAAGUUUUUGGUUGGGGUGACCACGGAGCAUAACACAACCUCCAUGCUGAAAGAACUUUUUCUAAGCUGAGAAUAACCAAUCUAAGCAUCAAUAUAUUGACAUCCAUUGACCCAAUACAUUUGACCAACGAACCAAGUUACCCUAGGGAUAACAGCGCAAUCCACUUCAAGAGCUCCUAUCGACAAGUGGGUUUACGACCUCGAUGUUGGAUCAGGGUAUCCCAGUGGUGCAGCCGCUACUAAAGGUUCGUUUGUUCAACGAUUAAAACCCU